AGGGAUUUCUAGGAAAAUAAGCGAUAUUUAAGGUGAAAAACAGGGAUUUCUAUGAAAAUAAGCGAUAUUUAAGGUUAAAAACAGGGAUUUCUAUGAAAAUAAGCGAUAUUUAAGGUUAAAAACAGGGAUUUCUAUGAAAAUAAGCGAUAUUUAAGGUUAAAAACAGGGAAUUAUAUGAAAAUAAGCGAUAUUUAAGGGGAAAAACAGGGAUUUCUAUGAAAAUAAGCGAUAUUUAAGGUUAAAAACAGGGAUUUCUAUGAAAAUAAGCGAUAUUUAAGGUUAAAAACAGGGAUUUCUAUGAAAAUAAGCGAUAUUUAAGGUUAAAAACAGGGAAUUAUAUGAAAAUAAGCGAUAUUUAAGGGGAAAAACAGGGAUUUCUAUGAAAAUAAGCGAUAUUUAAGGUGAAAAAACAGGGAUUUCCAUGAAAAUAAGCGAUAUUUAAGGGGAAAAACAGGGAUUUCUAUGAAAAUAAGCGAUAUUUAAGGUUAAAAACAGGGAUUUCUAUGAAAAUAAGCGAUAUUUAAGGUUAAAAACAGGGAUUUCUAUGAAAAUAAGCGAUAUUUAAGGGGAAAAACAGGGAUUUCUAUGAAAAUAAGCGAUAUUUUAGGGUUAAAAACAGGGAUUUCUAUGAAAAUAAGCGAUAUUUAAGGUUAAAAACAGGGAUUUCUAUGAAAAUAAGCGAUAUUUAAGGUUAAAAACGGGGAUUUCUAAGAAAAUAAGCGAUAUUUAAGGUGAAAAACAGGGAUUUCUAUGAAAAUAAGCGAUAUUUAAGGGGAAAAACAGGGAUUUCCAUGAAAAUAAGCGAUAUUUAAGGUGAAAAACAGGGAUUUCUAUGAAAAUAAGCGAUAUUUAAGGUUAUAAACAGGGAUUUCUAUGAAAAUAAGCGAUAUUUAAGGUUAAAAACAGGGAUUUCCAUGAAAAUAAGCGAUAUUUAAGGUUAAAAACAGGGAUUUCUAUGAAAAUAAGCGAUAUUUAAGGUUAAAAACAGGGAUUUCUAUGAAAAUAAGCGAUAUUUAAGGUGAAAAACAGGGAUUUCUUUGAAAAUAAGCGAUAUUUAAGGGGAAAAACAGGGAUUUC